AGAAAACAAUAAAUUAAAUAUUACUUAAAAUAUCAUUUUUAGCCAAUGCAAAGAAAGCGAAAAAUAAUAUUAGUGGUAGUUUGCGAACGAUUGAACUCGAAAAACUUUUUCAACUGUUGAUGUUGAGUUGUAACUCCUGCAAUGCUUGUUUACAAGACGACCUCGCCAUCUUGAUUUCGCUUAGCUUUCGUUUCAACUACUUAAGUAUAUAGCUUUUCAUCUUCAAGGAAAUCUACUAUUUUUAAAAUAAGCAAUGGACGAAAGUAAGCAAUUGUUUAUUUCACACUUUUUUUGUUGAUAGCUUGCCACAUAGUGAGUAUUUAUUUUCAGGUCUAA
rnacentral:lncRNA from 1 species